GGAUACAAGGGCAAUCUGGCUGCAAUACUUGUCACGCUGUUGAUUGCUAAGGUUGAUUCGAUUCAUCUAGCUGUCUAGGAGGGUGGUCUCCUUCCUACCUCACUGCUCCUUGUGCAUCUCUGUCCUUCUCAAAGCUGUGCACUCGGUUAAGGAGCUUGAACUUCCCUGAUAGAGAAAGACCAUCCUUUCAUCAAGAGUAUACCAGUAGCUAUGCUCCCCUGCUAGACACUCCGAACAAGCUCUUGAGAUCUUCCCCGGAUGGAGGCAUUUGCUUAUGUCUUCUUUAUAUCCUUGGUACAG
rnacentral:snRNA from 1 species